GGAGAAGUGGCCGAGCGGCUGAAGGCGCUGCCCUGCUAAGGCAGUAUCGGGGGUAACCCUGAUCGAGGGUUCGAAUCCCUCCUUCUCCG
rnacentral:tRNA from 1 species